ensembl:snoRNA SNORD16 Small nucleolar RNA SNORD16
UGCAAUGAUGUCAGAAUUUUCAUCUUAUUCUGUUCCUGGCGACAGCGUACUGCUGUCAGGAAGCUGAUACAGAAGGCUGAUUAAAAUUGCUAAAAAAAAA